rnacentral:piRNA from 1 species
UGAGCAACUAUUCUCAGAACUCUACCUCAGC